rnacentral:rRNA from 1 species
GAUGAACGCUAGCUACAGGCUUAACACAUGCAAGUCGAGGGGCAGCGCAGUGUAGCAAUACAUGGGCGGCGACCGGCGCACGGGUGCGUAACGCGUAUCCAACCUUCCCGUUACUCAGGGAUAGCCUUCCGAAAGGGAGAUUAAUACCUGAUGGUGUUCAAAUUCCGCAUGUUAUUUGAACUAAAGAUUUAUCGGUAACGGAUGGGGAUGCGUGACAUUAGGUAGAUGGCGGGGUAACGGCCCACCAUGCCUACGAUGUCUAGGGGUUCUGAGAGGAAGGUUCCCCACACUGGAACUGAGACACGGUCCAGACUCCUACGGGAGGCAGCAGUGAGGAAUAUUGGUCAAUGGUCGGAAGACUGAACCAGCCAAGUAGCGUGAAGGAUGAAGGUUCUAUGGAUUGUAAACUUCUUUUAUACGGGAAUAAAACCUCCCACGUGUGGGAGCCUGUAUGUACCGUAUGAAUAAGCAUCGGCUAACUCCGUGCCAGCUGCCGCGGUAACAC